rnacentral:misc_RNA from 1 species
UCGUGGAGCUACGGCUCCUUCGAGGGAGAACCCUUGCCUUUUCGAGCACCUGUUUGUUUCCUCGGCAGGCCCGCCUGCCAAUGAGGACCCUCUUAAACUCUUGCAAUAAACCUGUACACAAAUCUGUCUGAAUAAAAAAAAUCUAAAUCA